rnacentral:rRNA from 2 species
CAGCAGUAGGGAAUCUUCCGCAAUGGACGAAAGUCUGAAGGAGCAACCCCGCGUGAGUGACGAAGGGUUUCGGCUCGUAAAGCUCUGUUAUGAGGGAAGAACACGUACCGUUUUAAUACGGCGGUACCUUGACGGUACCUCAUCAAAAAGCCCCGGCUAACUACGUGCCAGCAGCCGCGGUAAUACGUAGGGGGCAAGCGUUGUCUGGAAUUAUUGGGGGUAAAGGGCGCGCAGGCGGCCUUUUAAGUUUGAUGUGAAAUCCUGCGGCUCAACCGCAAGCGGCCAUUGGAAACUGGGAGGCUUGAGUUCAGAAGAGGAGAGUGGAAUUCCACGUGUAGCGGUGAAAUGCGUAGAUAUGUGGAGGAACACCAGUGGCGAAGGCGACUCUCUGGUCUGUAACUGACGCUGAGGCGCGAAAGCGUGGGGAGCAAACAGGAUUAGAUACCCUGGUAGUCCACGCCGUAAACGAUGAGUGCUAGGUGUUAGGGGGUUCGAUGCCUUUAGUGCCGCAG